rnacentral:lncRNA from 1 species
AGCAUGGGCAAGAGCACGGGGGGAGAAGGUGGAGAAUUUGACGACGGAGAGGGAAAAGAAAAGAAGGUCGGAGAGAGAUGGGCGGAGGAUCUGCCGACGGAGGUGGAGGGCGAAGAAGAGAUGGGUGGAGAAAAAACACACGAAAAUAAAGAGGAAGGAGAAGAAAGAAGAGAAAGAGGAGAAACAGUGUAAUUUUGCCCAAAGAGUGCAACUUUCGUUCAAAGAGUGUAACUUUCGUCCAAAAAAGUAUAAUUUUUCUCUUAAAGAGUGCAAGUUUUUUCUACAAUAGUGCAACAUUUUUAUGAAAUAGUGCAAUGUUUCCUUA